rnacentral:tRNA from 1 species
GCGCCCGUGAUGGAACUGGCAGACAUGCACGGCUUAGGACCGUGUGCCGAAAGGCUUGGAGGUUCGAAUCCUCCCGGGCGCACCA